UACGUAGGGGGCAAGCGUUGUCCGGAUUUAUUGGGCGUAAAGAGCGUGUAGGCGGUUUGGUAGGUCCGCUGUGAAAACUCGAGGCUCAACCUCGAGACGCCGGUGGAAACCAUCAGACUAGAGUCCGGAAGAGGAGAGUGGAAUUCCGUGGUGUAGCGGUGAAAUGCGCAGAUAUCAGGAAGAACACCCCGUGGCUAAGGCGGCUCUCUAGUACGGUACUGACGCUGAGACGCGAAAGCGUGGGGGAGCGAACAGGAUU
rnacentral:rRNA from 1 species